rnacentral:lncRNA from 1 species
UUUAACGUACGUUGUACGUGCGCAUCAUUUACAUCUAGGUUCCAUCCCCAUUGUUGUUUGUUUACAUUCUGAGGUCAUGAGGUCACCUAAAUAUGUCAAGGCUAUAUGAUGUAACACAAUGGCGGCUCCCAUGUUCGUCUGUUUAUCACGGCAGUGCGGUAAUAGUAUUUCAGGUAGAAGCCAGGGAGUGCUGCCAGCAGGAACAACCCUUUGUCUCACCCAGGCCUGCAAGAUGUGGGAUGUGGCAAGUUUCAGCACAAAUAGGAAUCCACCUUGUUUGGGAAAUAAAAAUGGGCAAUGGAUUUUUUGCAGGUGACUCAGGUGGAGUCAGGCAAGUGGUUUUUGUUGUUGGGAAGCAUUGGUUGUCUCUUAAAUGGUAGUGGCGUUUCAAGAUGACCAUCACCUCGUUGGCAGAUGUUCAUCUCCAAUAAGUUGAGGAACUGUGUGUCUUCCUGUGAAACUUGAGCAUCACAGCUUUUAUCAUGAGGGAAGCUUCUUUCUAGCACUCUGAUCACCUCUCGUGAAAACACUGGGGUCAUUCUUUAAUGGUAGUAGGAUGAGCGAUGUUAACAUUGACAUUGACACUGGAAGAAAUAGAAUACCCUUCCAUGCCCCCAACCAACUAGAGUCUGGACUGCAAAUGGCUGAUUUUCACUUCCAGUCAAGACUUUCUAGGAGCAAGGGCUAUCGGACAGUUGUAACCAAUCAAAAGGCCUUCCGUAACUGCUAUGUGGGAUCGAUUUGCUGGAAUAAAGUCUUUAGUGAAACAGGAAAUAAUGGGUACAAUUUCAGAUGAAUUUACCUGUAAGCCAGAAAUCUGGGAACAAUUAAUGACUGUUUGUGGCGAUCAUUGUUGACAACAAUAUCUAAGAUAACAACAGCUAUCUUUAUGCUGUAAUGCUCUUGUAAUAUAUAUUUUUUUAUUUGAAUGACUUUAUUGAUUACAAAAUUAUAUAUAUGAACUUAAAAGAGCAUAAUUAAAACAACUGGCAAAUAAUAGUACGACACUUUAAAAUAAUGCAAUAACUGGUCAACAACCUCAGGUAAGUCACUGACAUAAAGUAAAAACAUCAGUGGCCCCAAGAUUGAUCCUUGUGGAACUCCAGAAGUUACACCAUUAGUAUAUGAGGUUUCACCAUUUAAGCAUACUCUUUGCUAUCUUCCAAAUAGAUAACCACUAAACCAGUUCAAUAAUCUACCAUUUAUGCCAAAACUACGCAGCUUGUGUACCAAAAGUUGAUGAGGCAUGACAUCAAAUGCCUUGCUAAAAUCUAGAUAAAUGACAAUCUGUUCACCUCUAUCCAAAUUUUCCCCUAUUGAAUGUAAUGCUUGUACUUGCUGAGUGCUAGUUGAAUGCUGUGCAGGAAAACCAUGAUGAGCGUCAUAACGUUAAGGUAGGAUUAGUUCGGUCAGUUUAGUGUGGAUCAACCUCUCCAUAACCUUGGAAAUAGUACAUAACAAAGAUACUGGCCUGUAGUUUUCUACCUUACCCUUGUUACCCUUUUUGUUCAUAGGCGUGAUAUUCGCCAACUUCCAAAUAAUAUGCAGCUCGCCAGACAACGUACUAAAAUUAAAUAAGAAUGCACAAGAGUCACUUUAUGAUGUACGUGGCACAUUCCUUCAAUAGUUUUGGCAGAAUUCUGACUGGACCAUGAGCUUUGUUUACAUCAAGACUUGAAAUACAAUUUAACACCUCUUCGGUCAUAAAUUCAAAACAUUCUAAUGAAGGUUCGACCACAUUGUCAAUAUCUGGCAAAACUAUACUAUCAUUACAAUAUGUCGUACAUAUCU